AUCGAGAAGGUGAUCAAUAUUUGGUUGCGGCAUGAGGAAUUUGAGAGCGUUGGCCCUGUCAGCUCCUCAAAUUGGUCAUGCGCUCUAGAUCAUUGUUCUUGAGGAUCAAGCCUUCAUGGUUUGUGAAAACCUCCUCUCUCUUUCUCUCACUCGCAUUAAAAUCCCAUCUUAAAUCCAAAGCUCAUAGUGACCCAACUGGAGAUAUGGCUGCCAAGUUGAGUGAAAGAACAAACAGAAAUUGUCAUUUAGAAAGUUUACUUUCACAUUCAUUUGAUCAACAAUCAUAUUGUAGUGAGCAAUAAAGACUAAACUAAUUGCAUUUUAAAAUUGGAGAAAAUAUCUUUGUGAAAUUAAUUAAUGGCAAUAUUGCAAACUAAA